UACAGAGGGUGCGAACGUUGCUCGGAAUUACUGGGCGUAAAGCGCGUGUAGGCGGAGCGAUAAGUCGGAAGUGAAAUCCCCGGGCUCAACCCGGGAACUGCUUUCGAAACUGCCGUUCUCGAGUACCGGAGAGGGUGGCGGAAUUCCUGGUGUAGAGGUGAAAUUCGUAGAUAUCAGGAGGAACACCGGUGGCGAAGGCGGCCACCUGGACGGUCACUGACGCUGAGACGCGAAAGCGUGGGGGAGCAAACAGGG
rnacentral:rRNA from 1 species